GAUGAACGCUGGCGGCGUGCCUAAUACAUGCAAGUCGAGCGAACAGAUGAGGAGCUUGCUCCUCUGACGUUAGCGGCGGACGGGUGAGUAACACGUGGAUAACCUACCUAUAAGACUGGGAUAACUUCGGGAAACCGGAGCUAAUACCGGAUAAUAUAUUGAACCGCAUGGUUCAAUAGUGAAAGACGGUUUUGCUGUCACUUAUAGAUGGAUCCGCGCCGCAUUAGCUAGUUGGUAAGGUAACGGCUUACCAAGGCAACGAUGCGUAGCCGACCUGAGAGGGUGAUCGGCCACACUGGAACUGAGACACGGUCCAGACUCCUACGGGAGGCAGCAGUAGGGAAUCUGCCGCAAUGGGCGAAAGCCUGACGGAGCAACGCCGCGUGAGUGAUGAAGGUCUUCGGAUCGUAAAACUCUGUUAUUAGGAAAGAACAAAUGUGUAAGUAACUAUGCACGUCUUGACGGAACCUAAUCAGAAAGCCACGGCUAACUACGG
rnacentral:rRNA from 1 species